CGAGGCCGCGUCAGAACCGAGGGCUGCAAGCGCACUGGGCACCGCCUCCCCGCCGGUGGAGGGCUGCGGCGUCGCGUGCCAGUUGAUGGCCACCGCCGCCUCGCAGUAUGCAUGUGAGAAACACGCGGCCAGCCACAUGUGCCGGUGCCGACGACCUUGCCAGGGUCAAUGGUCGCGCUGCACCGGAGGGCGCCGUGCAUCACCGAGCCCACUGGAGUGCGCUGUGUCCAAAUCCGCUGAUGCGCGGUGAUCGCCGGCCGAAGGUUUCGACCAUCAGGGGCUGGAAUCGAUGCCAUGCCCAUACCUGCCAAAGUCGUCCCCGGUAUUUAUGCCAUCUCCGUUGAAGAAUUCUCCCGAUUCUUGCAUGGGGUAGCAAUCGGUGUCUCAAUGUCCUCAUCUCCAUGAAUUCAUUCGCGAUCCGGAACGGACGAUUCAUAUGUGCAUAAGAUGAACAGAAGACACGUGAUUAGAUCUAUGAUAAUCUAACAUAUAAAGCCUCCUACGUUACCCGCCGUUCUAGCGCACUUGCAUCGCGCGAUGGAUCCGGUUCACACGAUUCACCUCGCUGUCAAAAUUCUGCUCCUUUUUACCUCUUUCUCAAAGAUCUGGCCGUAGGUUUUACUUUACAUUGUGGCUUCAAGUUUCAGUGCAUGACGACUGGGCCAUCGUUGCACACGGGCCCAACAUUUCAGUCACGGCGCGCGUGUAUGUGAGUUGUGCCACGACGGUGGGAGAACCCGAGAGCGAGGUGAAAACCUAGCCCCCAAUCCCCUUCCUGCCUCGAGCCCCACGCCCCACCCAUUCUCCUCUCCCCUCUUCCGCCGCCCCUCCCUGCCUGGUAGCCCGUGGUCGCCGCCGCAGCCUCCCUUCCACCUCGCCUUCCUUCUCUUCCCCGUCCACUCGCCAUCAACGACACCAUGGAAGGACAGGGAAAGGAGAAAGGGAUCCCGUCGGUGAAGGGAAGGAGAAAGGGAGCCCGGGGAGGAGCUCGAGCCGAGGAGAGCGGCCUCGAUCCAGACUCAGCAGGAGCAGAGGAGCAGCAACCGCGCGAGCCGGCGCGCACCUCGUCGCAAAUCGUGCAGCAAGCUGAAGACGCGGCAAGAGCGGUGGUCUUGACGGCGACGGCGGCCGGGAGAUAGAAGAUGAGGAAGAGUGAAGGAAGGGGAGGAGGGACAAAGAGAGGACAGAGGAGAGGGAGGUGCAGCGGCCUGAGAAGAAUACUGCAGGGAAAGAGGAGGAGGUCAAUCGUGUCCCUGGGGUGCCAAGCAGAUCCCCACCAGGGGUGGACUGGCACUUGGAGCCGCCGCCGCCGCCAUUCCGCCUCCCUCCUCUCUGUCCGACGACCACGCAACCCGGAGGAAGCCGCCGCCCAAGAAGGUCCGGGGACGCCCGUUGGCGAGCUUCAACCACCCACAUCGGGGCAGAGGGAGCCGCACGCGUGGCCAGCAAGUGGACCGACGGGAAAGACGCGCGCCGCGGGCUCGAUAGGGAGAAGAGAUGAAGGGGGCGCGUGUGGGCGGCUGGCUGACGGGGAAACCAUCGCGUCUCUACCGCGUCUACGAACUGCAGAGCAGGCAUGUCUUCAUGGUGCUUGCGGAGGGGCAGGGCCCCUGAGGAAAAGUGGUGGUUGGGGAGGAGGACGCCCUUGUCCUUGGUGUCCGGGCCGCCAUGGCUGACGCCGGAGCCGUUGGUUGGCCUUGAGGUCAUCCGUCGUUGGCAUCCUCGUCAUCCAUCCAACCACCAGGGAGGAGAUUCCUGAGGCAUUUGAUUCUUGUGGGAUCCCAACACAUCUUGCAAGAUCAACAACAAGUGGCUGGGCCUCUACAUUAUUCAGAAAAGCUAUUUUUAUCUUUCAUUUAUUUGUCUAAUUUAUGUGCCCGUGUAUUCGCCUCCGUUCCGCUCUUGUUGAAGUUCCAACGAAUUUCUGUGCUACCUAAGAGGUACUAAUGCUCAUAUAUUACAAUUUGGUACCCACGACCUUCAGUCACGGGAUCUUGAGAAAAGCAGUUUAGGCAUUUUGUUUGUGUCAACUAUACAGAAUCCCUGCGGUUCGAUUUUUGGUUUGUAGGCAACCAACACAAUAUGCAGGCAAAUAGAGAUGAGGUUUUGCUGUAGUAGGCAAAUAUUCAUUGUCCAUUUUAUGUGUUUGUAGGCAACUGAAGUACUCAACCUGUAUAUAUCCAUUAAUUCAUGUACAAGCCAAUCUUUUUUGGCAUAUCCGUUGCAUGAUCAACCUAUGUAUGUUUGUAAUUUUGCCUUACUAAGCUGCUAUACAUAUACUCAGUUUGUCUUUACUAAGCUGCUAUACAUACACUCAAUCUUGUGGUGAUUACAGCUUUGAGCUUGCAACUGAACCUUAAGACUACUAAUUACUUUUGUGGAUGGUUAAACCUGAAAUCUGAAACAAAAUCUGGUAGCAGUCUUGCCCCCCUCAGCAAAAAAAUAUGCAUUGAGGUCAGCUAUCUUCAACGUCCCUUUUUUCGUUUCAGUAAUGCAUGACCAUAGCGUGACAUGAAGUUCUAUCUUGAUCCUUGCCAUGCUACUGCUUUGUUGAACCAUCUCAAGGCGUAUGGACCUGGUUCUUUUUAAGCACAAUUUUCUUUUAUUGUCUUUACAUGUUCAUUUAAUUCGUUUAUGUUUCCUUUUCCGUUGCGGUGGUGGAUGAUAUAUUCUCUGCCAUGAAUGGAUGUUUUUGGCGUUGUGAGAUGGCGUAGGUAACUGAUGAGCUAUGUUUUUAAGGCAGUAAGGCGAGGCAAGGCGCUGGGGGGGGCGCCUCACCGCCUAAGCGGUAAGGCAUAAGGCAAGGCGGACGCCUUAGAGAGUUCUGACCAGUAGAAUGAAGUAGAACUUGGUAGGCAACUAGGCAUACACACUACACAUCUUGCACUUGCUGCUGGUUGUAGAGUCCAUAUAGCUCACCUCUGUGCAGUCUGUAUGCUAAUGAGGAGAACGUCCCUCUAUUACUUUUGGGUGUUGGGUUCUGUUUAGUGAAAUUUUGAAAAUAGUUGGCCUGGUAAAACACCACUGUUUGCCCUGUGGGUCAAUAGGGACUUGACAAACAAAAAAUGCAUCACUUUCCAUUUAAUGGCCUAAAAACACUGGCAUGUUUGGAUGAAAUUUUCAUCUAUAUGUAUAAGCCGUGGGCUAUUCCAAGAAGAGGGUGACUAUGCAUCAGUUGUACAAUCAUGUGUCCAUCUGCUGCUUUUUUGAAUCGUAUAAAAUCUAGAGCUACCUUACAAAACUAUUCUGUUUACUAUGGAGUAAAAUCUAGAGCUAGCUUAUAAUACUGCUUGAAAAUAGCUUUGGCUCUUCACACCUGGGAGUAAUAUGACAGUUUGCGUUCCUAUUUUUGUUUUCUCUGUAUAUAUAUACAGUUUUCAUAUUCUAUUUGUUUGCUCCUGAAGCUUAUGUUUUCCUUUUUCAGAAUUGAGUGUGUAUGAACAAAGCAAUAGAGGUUGUGUUAAUUCCUAGAGCCUAAUAUGUUCUUUUGUCUCCUGGUGAUUAGUUCGAAUGGCCGUGUGAGGUAAUAGAGCUUUCUAUCGUUGCUUCCUCAUCCUUCUCCGCCCUGCAUUCUCACAUUUUUUAAUGAAAAAAUAACCCUGCAUUCUCACUUUGUUAAUGAAAAUAAAUAAAGGGAUUACAAGCACUGCUCUGUGCAAGAAAUGGGUGUAUGUGUUCUAAUUUAGUUGCUUGGCCUGCCAGCCUAUCUUCCCUGGAUGCUUACUUUCUUACAUGUUGCACGUCAUGUUACAGUUUCGCCGGCCUGUCUCGGCUCAUGUUAGGCACCAUGUCUCGGCUCAUGUCACGGUGACAUGGUGUCUAUAGCCUGUUGGGGCGCCUGCGGAUCCCUGACAAAAUCCAUGUAUUUAACCGUGGCAUGUUUGGCAGCUGCAGCCGCGUGGCAAUUAAUUAAUUCUCAUUCAACGUAAUUUACUUCUCCCCCUUUAUGUAUCAUGGAUGGAUAUACAUGGUGGUUGGCUGUUAUUAUCGAAGCAAGAGUUACUGAUGAUGACUACAUUUGAGCUGGUUUGCUGCUUACAAAUCGGUAGAGUGAUUUAUCUUGCUAAUGCAUAUAUAGUUAUGAAUGCAGCUGUUUCGCAUCUAGAGAUUGUAUGGCAGCUGCCUCAUAUUUGUACAGUAGACCUGAUCUCCUAAUAGUAUUUUGUGAUGCACAUAUUUUUAUUUCUUUUGAUUUUGCGUUGGUUGUUAUUUAUGCUUAUAGCUUCAUGUCUGGGAUUCUAUUUCAGGGCACUGUUUUAGUUGUUAGUUCAGGUGCUUUUGAUUUUCUGAAUGUAUCUAGGUAAUGUCGAAGAUGCUCUCCUCUUAUUUUUCAGACAUUUACUUUGCUUAUUUUGCUUCUCCUUAGCCUCUUAUUAGUGCCAAUCUUCUUUUAAAUAGCAGGGACAUUCUUUUACUUUUAGGAGGGCAUAUUUUUCCUGGGCCCUGAUGGGUCUUUUCAUAUAUUUCAGAUAUCAGUGGUCCAUGUCACAAUAAACAAGUGAUUCGUACUUAAACAUGACAUGGGGAACCUUGGAUACACCAUUCAGGACAGGGAUAUACUCGAUCUGAGAGAACAUGGGCUUCUUGCCUCCGUCUUUUGUACCCAGUUUACUAGAUAUUAGAUAACAGUGGGUAUUUAAAAAAAAUUGUUACAGAAGUGCCUUGAAUAUAUUCAGCAUAAAUGGGAUGACCAGGACAUAUGUGAAUCGGAUUUCUUAUUAACUAUACUUGGAAAACGAUGAUGUGAUGAAGAUAUGUCUGCACAUGAAUACGACGGUUAUAUAGAUUUCAGUUGUGCUCUUAAGCAUAAUUCUGCAUCUACUACUAUCGUCACUGCUGUCUAUAUUCCAUUUUUAGAUUCGAAAAUGAUUCCGAUGAUUCUUGUCUGCCUUGGGCAACCUUUCCAUUUCAGUCUCAUGUAGGAUUUUGGUCCCCGUGAUCUUCCUUGCAUAGAUGACCUACUCCCAAUCCUCCUUACCUCCCCUCUGACUCCUUUAUGUCUCAGUGGUUGCCCAGGCUUUCGUUCAAAUUUGGCAUGAUUUUUUGGUACACAUUACCCAACCAACGCCCUCCCUUUCAAAGGAAAAUGAUGAUUUUUUGUACUUAAGUGUGUUGUGUGCUGUCUGUGGCACUGUGUUGGAUUUUUAGAGAAAAUAUCAUUGUUGCUUCACUGCUAUAUGUGGUUUGAGUUGAUGCUCUGUUCAGAAAGAAACAAGUUUAGAAUAGGUAAAUUUUAGUUAACCCCAUUGUUUUGCUUUAGGCUAUCCUUUGUAUUUUCCUUGUCAUGUUUCGUGCUUCAUAGCAUGUGUAUGGAAGCAUAUAAAUACAGCAAUAUAAACUGCAGUUGUAGUAUCACAUUUUUCUAUCAUAAAUGUGUAGAAAUUUGAGAGCUUAACAGGAGAAUAGAAUCAAGGAGAAGAAUGAAUGCUUAGUUCUAUGCGUAUGCAUGUAGAAGCAUCUCCUUGAUCAUUGAUCACGGCAACUAGGAAUCCAUCAUACAUCUAUACUAUCUGCACAAGCACACAUAAUUCGGUUUAAACUAUUUAUGGUUUCUGAGAACACCAAUAGCUAGCUAAUAUAUCUACUUGUUGAGUUAAUGGGGUGACCCGCAUGUCCAUCUCUGAAAAAUACAGUAAAUACCUAUCCUGAAGUUAAAACUUAUGUAUCAUUUUACCCUAUUACCGGUAAACACCUAUCUUAAUAAGCGCGUAGUUUAGAAAUGAACUUCACGGAUAAUUGUUCAUGUUGUUUGAAUCAUAAUUGAAUGAGGUGUGGUUAUUCUUAAUUUUAACUGAGUGGUACGACUGCAAAUUAACGGUAAGCUGUCGGUAAACGCCCUCUUUUUGGUAACUUGAUAGUGCUCAUUGGUUUUAUUGCUAUAUGCUGACAUUAUAAUUCUCUGUUGACCUGCUCAUGCAAAUCCUACCUUUCCGGUCAGGUCACUACUACAUGUUGGUUGACUGAUCCUAUCCCAAGAUCGGUCCCCUCCUGAGCCAUUUGAUCACCAAAUGCGCACGCAAACGCCUCCCUCCCAUCCCCAUCUUCCGCAGCGCUCGCACGCUGCUGCAUGGUGCGCUCCCUGAGCCACCCUUGUCGGCCACACACAACCUUACGACCAAAUUUUUGUACCAUUACUAUAUUACAGGUGUUCUCUAUUCUCAGCAUUCUCUGUUAGUUUUCUAUCUCUGGUCUUAUAGUUAUAUUCUUUAGAAUAUCGCCAAGUCAUGGCUGUAAUCGAACAUAUAAAUCACGCUUCAUUUAGAGUCAACAAAAGAAUGGAGUAACAGGGCAUGGGCUUCGUUUAGAGUCAACAAAAGAAAAGUUUUUUUCAGAGUAAUUUUCAGUUCACUGUUUGCUUCGACUUUUGUGACUUAUGAUGUUUGGAUCAAGGAUUUCAAGAUUUCCUGUUUUUAUUAUUGAUGAUGGAAGAUGGAUCAGAUUUAUGCCUGUUCUAAACCAUUUAUUCUCUGUUUGGGCUGUAAUUUCUAAGUUAGCUUUCUUAGUAAAGAACUUAAUAAAGCUUUGUUGCUGCGAACUAUUUUAUCUUUUCUUGGAUAAGAUUAUAUUCUUUAGCUCAUGAGCUGACCUAUUUGUGAUUUGUACCUCAGUUCACGGGAUAUCUCAUAACUGAAACCAUGAACAACAAGUGCUUCGGUUCUGGUGUUGGCGAUCCAUUGCUUGAGGCGACAUCGUGUGCAAGAUUAUUCUUGUGGAGGCCACUGGCAUGGUGGCACCCUCCUGGGCCUGCUGAUCCCAUUACCCAGGUUGCCUGUUGCGCCUAAAGGUUGGAUAUACGGUGAUAUGGUAAUGCCGAUUUGGGAAAGCAGGUGUACAGUGUGUGUAAAUUAAGAAAACAAUUUAUAAUCUGUUAUGUGAUCACUGCAUUUUAAUUUAGUAUAUGCGAUCCCCUCAAGUAGGGAAGUAUUGAAUGCACCUCUCUGGCAAGUGCACGCAUAUUGUUAGCAAAGUUUAAAUUGAUUACCCCUGGGACGA